rnacentral:rRNA from 1 species
GACGAACGCUGGCGGCGUGCUUAACACAUGCAAGUCGAACGGAAAGGCCCUGCUUUUGUGGGGUGCUCGAGUGGCGAACGGGUGAGUAACACGUGAGUAACCUGCCCUUGACUUUGGGAUAACUUCAGGAAACUGGGGCUAAUACCGGAUAGGAGCUCCUGCUGCAUGGUGGGGGUUGGAAAGUUUCGGCGGUUGGGGAUGGACUCGCGGCUUAUCAGCUUGUUGGUGGGGUAGUGGCUUACCAAGGCUUUGACGGGUAGCCGGCCUGAGAGGGUGACCGGCCACAUUGGGACUGAGAUACGGCCCAGACUCCUACGGAAGGCAGCAGUGGGGAAUAUUGCACAAUGGGCGGAAGCCUGAUGCAGCAACGCCGCGUGCGGGAUGACGGCCUUCGGGUUGUAAACCGCUUUCGCCUGUGACGAAGCGUGAGUGACGGUAACGGGUAAAGAAGCACCGGCUAACUACGUG